rnacentral:lncRNA from 1 species
AUUGUUUCAAGAUAUUAAAAAAAAAAAAAAACAUUUUAGGAAAUUCCAAUAGCGAAAAUAAAAAUUAAGCAUCUGUUUUAAAUACCAAAAAAAAUUCCUUUAACCACUCCUUUGCUGAAAGUAAUAUUUUGUAUCCCAGUCAUAUAUUUCUAUUAUAAAAAGGGGGGAUUCUAAGUCUCGGACCCCUCUUGUUAUCCAGUGGCCGAUCCGGGGUAGGGGUUCCGCGGUUUGGACCCGAUUUAAAAGAUCAAAGUAUUUGACUGAUUGGAACCCCACCCCCUUUCUGUUGAGUUCAGCUGGAUUACCUGCGGAACCGUAGCUCAUAGGUUUUAAUAGUUAUCCCACGAUGAUGCGGUGUGUCAAUGUAAGAUCAUCCCGAUGGCCGGAGGCCAGAGGUUGAUCUAACACUGACACACCAAGUCCGAUGUAAUAUUUACAUCCAGCUAUUUAAGAUAAGACGAAAACCAUUUUACAAUUCAUAAA